rnacentral:rRNA from 1 species
GACGAACGCUGGCGGCGUGCUUAACACAUGCAAGUCGAACGGAAAGGCCUCUUUCGGGGGGUACUCGAGUGGCGAACGGGUGAGUAACACGUGAGUAACCUGCCCUUGACUUUGGGAUAACUUCAGGAAACUGGGGCUAAUACCGGAUAGGAGCUCCUGCUGCAUGGUGGGGGUUGGAAAGUUUCGGCGGUUGGGGAUGGACUCGCGGCUUAUCAGCUUGUUGGUGGGGUAGUGGCUUACCAAGGCUUUGACGGGUAGCCGGCCUGAGAGGGUGACCGGCCACAUUGGGACUGAGAUACGGCCCAGACUCCUACGGGAGGCAGCAGUGGGGAAUAUUGCACAAUGGGUGGAAGCCUGAUGCAGCAACGCCGAGUGCGGGAUGACGGCCUUCGGGUUGUAAACCGCUUUCGCUCAUGACGAAGCUUUGUGUGACGGUAGUGGGUAAAGAAGCACCGGCUAACUACGUG